rnacentral:rRNA from 1 species
CAACGUGGGUAACCUGCCCAAGAGAUCGGGAUAACACCUGGAAACAGAUGCUAAUACCGGAUAACAACAGAUGAUGCCUAUCAACUGUUUAAAAGAUGGUUCUGCUAUCACUCUUGGAUGGACCUGCGGUGCAUUAGCUAGUUGGUAGGGUAACGGCCUACCAAGGCGAUGGUGCAUAGCCGAGUUGAGAGACUGAUCGGCCACAUUGGGACUGAGACACGGCCCAAACUCCUACGGGAGGCAGCAGGU